UACGUAGGGUGCAAGCGUUGUCCGGAAUUAUUGGGCGUAAAGAGCUCGUAGGCGGUCUGUCGCGUCGGCUGUGAAAACCCGGAGCUCAACUCCGGGCCUGCAGUCGAUACGGGCAAACUGGAGUGUUGCAGGGGGAGACUGGAAUUCCUGGUGUAGCGGUGAAAUGCGCAGAUAUCAGGAGGAACACCGGUGGCGAAGGCGGGUCUCUGGGCAACAACUGACGCUGAGGAGCGAAAGCGUGGGGAGCGAACAGG
rnacentral:rRNA from 1 species